rnacentral:miRNA from 1 species
CAUGUAAACAUUUUAGAUAUACA